UGCGCGGUGAUUUGACCAAUUUGC
rnacentral:siRNA from 1 species